UCACACAUGUAUCUCAAUGGCUUCAGCUCUGAAUACAAAGCACAUAAGCAAACAAAUAUAACAGCAUCAGUUAAAUUCUGGCGGAAACCCAGUUUGGCCAAUAUAUGCUGAGUGAUUCCCCAUGAAUCCAUCUUCUUCCACUGAAAUAAAUUAAGGAGCCCCCAAAUAUACAACAUGCUAAUGCUAUUAGAAAUCUGGAUCCAAUUUACCUGAAGCAGAGCCAUGAGCUGAGGUCAUACUUUUGACCUUGGAAUCUGAGAGUCGAGAGAUACUGUUAGCUCUAAUUCUAGGAGAAAAUUUAUCUGAUGGUACUAGUCUGGCUCCACUUCUAAUGAUGGCUUCUGCGGUCCUCGAAGAGGCACUACUUCUAGAAAUUGUUGCUUCAGAGUCACUACGAGCUGACAGUGAGCCAAGUCGUGUUCUACGAGGCUGAGCCAACAAAUCAAUCCGAGAGAUGUUACACCUUCCUGUGGGAGGUUUUGAUGUAGAACUUGUUGUGGAUACUUCAGAAGCAACAGAUGCUUUGUCAGCAUCGGCAAGUUCACUGUCUGAAGCUUCACCACGUCAUACUCUGCGCAAGAGGGAAGUCCUGAUUUUUGGGGUGCCGCAAGCCUGAGACAAAACAAAUUUCCAUUUUCAACCAGAAUGAAAUUAAGAAAACAGAUAAAAGCCACAUACAAAAUCUCAUUGAGGGUCUUUUUGCUUUUUAACUAUAAAUAUUUAUUGAGUGUCUAUUACAUGCCAGACACUGUUCUAGACACAAGGGAUACGAUGUGAACAAGACGAAUAACAUCAUCUUAGAGUGGACAAACAGAAAAUAAACCAGAUGGAAGUGAGUUCUAUAAAGAAAACACAACAUGGCAAUCUGAUGGAGAGAUAUAAGAAGUGAAUGAUGCAGCUACUUUAAAUAGACUGCUAUGAGAAUUUUUGAAAACUGCAUCUGCACUCGAAACUCUAGUGGCUUCAGAGUUAAAGAAAGCAUGCUGAGAGGUCUAUCAAUGCAAAGGGUCAUCUGUGAAAUCUCCACCUAGAUCUAAGGACCACUGGGCAAACAGCAUGGUGCUAAAUAUAACCAGCUAUUUUCCCCAUGAAGCAUAUCAGGACUCCAAAAAUCUCUGGCAUCCACUCUUUCCUGACAUAGAUCAUGUGGCUUAGGGGAAAACUAACACCACACAUAGCUUCAAGGUUUGCCAUUUGUCUUGAAAGCUCUUUUUUCAUCCACCUCAUCAUCCCCCCACCAUGACGGCUGCCCAUGUAAUGGAG